AUUGAACGCUGGCGGCAGGCCUAACACAUGCAAGUCGAGCGAGUGGCGGACGGGUGAGUAAUGUCUGGGAAACUGCCUGAUAGAGGGGGAUAACUACUGGAAACGGUGGCUAAUACCGCAUACUAUCGGAUGUGCCCAUAUGGGAUUAGCUAGUGGGUGGGGUAAAGGCUCACCAAGGCGACGAUCUCUAGCUGGUCUGAGAGGAUGAUCAGCCACACUGGAACUGAGACACGGCCCAGACUCCUACGGGAGGCAGCAGUGGGGAAUAUUGCACAAUGGGCGCAAGCCUGAUGCAGCCAUGCCGCGUGUAUGAAGAAGGCCUUCGGGUUGUAAAGUACUUUCAGCGGGGAGGCGUUACCCGCAGAAGAAGCACCGGCUAACUCCGUGCCAGCAGCCGCGGUAAUAC
rnacentral:rRNA from 1 species